rnacentral:tRNA from 1 species
GUGAGAGUAGCUUAAUGGUAGAGCAAGGGUUUGUGGCGCCAAUGGUCGAGAGUUCGAAUCUCUUCUUUCACC